rnacentral:rRNA from 1 species
GACGAACGCUGGCGGCGUGCUUAACACAUGCAAGUCGAACGGAAAGGCCCUGCUUUUGUGGGGUGCUCGAGUGGCGAACGGGUGAGUAACACGUGAGUAACCUGCCCUUGACUUUGGGAUAACUUCAGGAAACUGGGGCUAAUACCGGAUAGGAGCUCCAGCUGCAUGGUGGGGGUUGGAAAGUUUCGGCGGUUGGGGAUGGACUCGCGGCUUAUCAACUUGUUGGUGGGGUAGUGGCUUACCAAGGCUUUGACGGGUAGCCGGCCUGAGAGGGUGACCGGCCACAUUGGGACUGAGAUACGGCCCAGACUCCUACGGGAGGCAGCAGUGGGGAAUAUUGCACAAUGGGCGGAAGCCUGAUGCAGCAACGCCGCGUGCGGGAUGACGGCCUUCGGGCUGUAAACCGCUUUCGCCUGUGACGAAGCGUGAGUGACGGUAAUGGGUAAAGAAGCACCGGCUAACUACGUG